UACGUAGGCAGCGAGCGUUGUUCGGAGUUACUGGGCGUAAAGGGUGUGUAGGCGGUUGUUUAAGUUUGGUGUGAAAUCUCCCGGCUCAACUGGGAGGGCGCGCCGAAUACUGAAUGACUUGGAGUGCGGGAGAGGAGAGUGGAAUUCCUGGUGUAGCGGUGAAAUGCGUAGAUAUCAGGAGGAACACCGGUGGUGUAGACGGCUCUCUGGACCGUAACUGACGCUGAGACACGAAAGCGUGGGUAGCAAACAGG
rnacentral:rRNA from 1 species